UUGCCAAGUGAUGAAGUUUGCCUCAUCGAACAUCAUCAACAACAACUCCUCGUGCUUAUAUAUUUUCGCAUAAAUCAUAUAGUAGGUUUGACCAUACUAGGAACUUGGAAUGGCGAUAGAAAAUACACGAGACAAUGCGGCUUCCUCUACAUCGUAAAACCUCCAUUGUGGAGUGCCCCAUCACUUCACGAUUCGCAAGUUAACCUUGCUAGGAGAGCGCAUCCGUCUUUCUGCAAACCGGCAAGAGGCCAUUGCGCCCGCCGCCGCAGGUGCAACCGUCCAAGCGAAUCGUGUUGGCUACACCGUAUUAGUGGCUGGACCAGCUAGUGCCGAAGAAUCUCUACUACAAGACGAAGCUUUGCAGAAGUUGGAGACCAGCGGGCGCUGCAUGAUCAGCAAUGCGUGUAUCUUCGCCCACGCGGCAGCACUGAGCUGCGCCGCCUGUCGUCUACCACCCACAGCGGUUUCGAGGUCGUCCGUACGGUAUGCUACAAAUUAAGGGACAAUGACACUUGCCACUAUGGGGAGAAGUGUGUAUUCCCCCAUGCAUCUGCCCAAGGUAUGCCCCCACUAUUUUGCUAGAUCACGCUCUCCCAUACCACACAUGUGUGCAUGGCGGAUCGCAUCGGGAUCUUUCAAAUUUGAUCGAUGAUUCAAAGAAUAGGCGUUCAAUAAACGGACGACGCGUGUGUGCAGUUCAACAUGUACAUGUUUGCUUCGCUCUGAUCUAGAGGUCCAUCCGUAGUAGAUGUACGAGAAGUCGGAGGGGUCAUCGUAACCUAAUCCACAUGCGGCUCAAUGGCAGGGGUGGAUUUUCUACCUGUAUGCGACUAGGGUUGGAGAGGGAUUGGGCAUGCAUUGGCUUGCGUAUAUGGAUAAGACCCGAGGAAUGUAUUAGCGUAGAAAUAGUUACUCGAAGGACGAGACUGUGGAAUGUGGGCUGGGUCAUGUCGGUUCGGUAAGGCGGUGACUACACUAUCCCUCUCUAUAGAUAUAACACUAUCGUCGCCCUUCAAAUCGAUUGAGAAUUCUGAUUAAAUAAAUACUAAAUGUUGCAAACUAUUUUUGCUCAUUUCCAUCCAUGGCUCUCAAACCUGCCGUCAGACUGCCACACCAGAGUUCGAGUAAUUAAGAGAUCCAGGAGGUAAUCCGCCAAACUGGGAGCUGCUUUCCACCGAGGGCAGCACCCAGAGCCCUCCCGAGAGGAGGUAGAACACUAUGACCGGGGAUAGCCUAUGUCGAUCUCACAGAGACUGCCACGCCGAAGUUCGAGUAAUUCAGAGGUCCAGGAUGUGAUCCGCUAGACUGGGAGCUGAUUAUUAAAUAAACACUAACAGCCCAUUUGGCAACCAAUAAUUCAUUUCAUUUGGUAGAAAUGAAAUGAAAUCCAAUUUUUGAUAGGAUUUCAUUUGGUUAAAUUUGAAUUCCAGGUUCAAAAAUCAUGUUUGUCUACCACAUGGAAUUGUAGAGUGAGACAAUUCUAGAGAAAUGAUGGCUUUUAGAGAGGAAUUGGGGUUAGUUAUAGUGUAAUUCCAUGGAAUUUGAGAUUGGAUUCCUAUGGCCAAUUCCGUGCCACCCAAACAAGUUGGUUUCUGGAAUUCAAAAUGAAUUCCAGAAUUCUAUGCCCAAAUGAUGGGUGCCAAACGAGCUGUAAAUGCUGCAAACUAUUUUACCUCAUUCCAUCCAUGGCUCUCGGACCUGAUGUCAUCCUCCUCCGUCGCUGGCUAUGAGACUGCCACAGCGGAGUUCGAGUAAUUGAGAGGUCUAGGAGGUGAUCCACCAGAUUGGGAGCUGCUUUCCACCGAGGGCAGCGCCCAGAGCCCUCCCGAUAGGAGGUAGAACACUAUGGCCGAGGAUAGCCCUUAUUACCGCGGUAGAUAAUACAUAGUGGGAAAGGGUAGACAUUAAGUAGGAGGGGGGACAUGAUGAUGUUGGCUAAGGUUUUGUUAUAAAUACGAAUCUUCGUGCAACCCGAUGACCUUAAAUGCACGCCAUCCGCUUAGAUUUUUUGGAAUUUUUCUUUUUCAUCAUGAAAUUCCUCUGCAUGUAAGUCGACAUCAUAGAAUAUAAAGGCCAAAGUAAAGCGACGGAGUGUAAGUCAGAGUAGCAUGCACACCUACGUUCUAGAAUAGGAUUGGCGAUUCAAAUUAAAUAUACGCAAUAAACGGACGGCGGGAUUACUAAAGAUACAACAGGAAAAUAUUGCAUUACGUGAAAGUGCAAUGAGCACUCUUGCCUCAAGUGUAAUAUAGAACUACUAAAAAUAUAGUAGGAAAAAGUGUAAUGCACACAAUACACACCCAUGAAAAGUGUACUACAAACCUACCAAAAAUGGAGUACACAUCCAUUAUAACAACAUCACGAACGAUAAUGUCAAUUGAUGAAAGCCGGUUGAUCAUCUACCCAUGUCUCCCCUGAGCCUUGGAGACUGCAACAAUUUGCAAUAUCGUGGGCAGUGUCAUAUUAGACUAUCUUGCCCAGUGAUGAAGUUUGCCUCACCGAACAUCACAACAACAACUCCUCGUGCUUCUAUAUGUUCACAUAAAUCAUAUAGUUGGUUUUACCAUACUAGGAACUUGGAAUGGAGACAGAAAAUACAUGAGACAAUGCGACUUCCUCUACAUCGUAAAACCUCCAUUGUGGAGUGCCCCAUCACUUCACGAUUCGCAAGUUAACC
rnacentral:lncRNA from 1 species